UUAAAGAGUGCGUAAUAGCUCACUAGUCGAGUGACACUGCGCCGAAAAUGUACCGGGGCUAAACAUAUUACCGAAGCUGUGGAUUGUCCUUUGGACAAUGGUAGGAGAGCGUUCUAAGAGCGUCGAAGCAUGAUCGCAAGGACAUGUGGAGCGCUUAGAAGUGAGAAUGCCGGUGUGAGUAGCGAAAGACGGGUGAGAAUCCCGUCCACCGAUUGACUAAGGUUUCCAGAGGAAGGCUCGUCCGCUCUGGGUUAGUCGGGUCCUAAGCUGA
rnacentral:rRNA from 1 species